rnacentral:rRNA from 1 species
UACGUAGGGCGCAAGCGUUAUCCGGAAUUAUUGGGCGUAAAGAGCUCGUAGGCGGUUUGUCGCGUCUGCCGUGAAAGUCCGGGGCUCAACUCCGGAUCUGCGGUGGGUACGGGCAGACUAGAGUGAUGUAGGGGAGACUGGAAUUCCUGGUGUAGCGGUGAAAUGCGCAGAUAUCAGGAGGAACACCGAGUGGCGAGGGCAGGCUCUGGGCCAUUACUGACGCUGAGGAGCGAAAGUGUGGGGAGCGAACAGG